AGAAUAUAUAAUUUUAAAGCUGCUAACUUUAACCAUAGCGAAAUUCGUUAAUAUUCUU
rnacentral:tRNA from 1 species